rnacentral:lncRNA from 1 species
CUCCCGUUCCGCGCGCUCUAGUUCCGAAAGUACCUUUUUUAGACCGGACUGGGGCUCAGAGGGGUUUCCAUGACUACGGGACUCCUCCGACCGGUACCCUGCAGAUGCUUGUCAGAAAUUGGCUUGGAGGCCGGGCUCGGUGGCUGACGCCUGUAAUCCCAGCACUUUGGGAGGCCGAGGCGGGCGGAUCACGAGGUCAGAAGAUCGAGACCAUCCUAGCUAACACGGUGAAACCCCGUCUCUACUAAAAAUACAAAAAAAAAAAAAAAAAAAAAAUUAGCCGGGAGUGGUGGCGGGCGCCUGUUGUCCCAGCUACUCGGGAGGCUGAGGCAGGAGAAUGGCGUGAACCCGGGAGGCAGGGCUUGCAAUGAGCCAAGAUCGCGCCACUGCACUCCAGCCUGGGCGACAGAGCGAGACUCCGUCUCAGAAAAAAAAAAAAAGAAAGAAAUUGGCUUGGAGAUUUUUCGCCGGCCACUCCUUCUUGAGCCCUGACUGAAAAGUGAGUUCUCAAUUUGUGCUUCCAGAAAGUUUGUCCUCCCAGAGUUUGUUCCUGGACAGGGCUGAAGGAAAAAUGAACAGGGCUACCUUCUGCCUGGACUCACCCAAAAGCCGGUCUCCUGCAGCCUGAAGCUCUUGUACCUCUAGGCUGAAGAUGAUGAGGAUCACAGGAGGAGGAAGGCUGCCAACUUCAUGUUGCUGUUGGAAGGCUUUGGAAAAACACAGCAGGGCUGAGAGCAGCUGAAAUUUAUACCUUCCACCCGCUGAGCUGGAAUGCAAGGCCAGGGGUGGGACUAGGGACUGCAGACACCUAAGCCCUGCCCAGAAACUGACAUUUCUGGAGAAUAGCCACCCACCCUGUGUACCCUGGGUCCUUCUACAUUACCUAAGCAAGGCUCUGAGCCAAGGGAACGCCCUCCUCUGACAGAAAAAUAAGACUCCUACACCAGGCCAGUU